CCACCGCUACCGCAGCCGCCGCCGCCGCCGCCGCCCAGGUGACUGAGGAGAGAGGCACCUCCUCGCUCCCGCCGCCGCCGGACUUCAAUGCCCAGUCCCCAGCUCGCCAGCGUUUUUCGUUGGAAUAUACGUUGCACAUUUAUGGCGAUUCUGAAUGUGAGAGCAGAUUUCUGCCAGGCUGAGCACAGCGUUUUCGCUGACAAGUGAGCUUGGAG
rnacentral:lncRNA from 1 species